GAAGCGCUGGGGCUGUGAGGAAUUGGCACAGCCCGAGGUGUUGGUGCGCUUUCCAGGAGCUCAGGUGAGCUCCGAACGAGAUGCCUCAAACGGGAGCGUCCCUUAAAACUGAGCGAGUUUCUGAAGCUGGCAAGCAAAGAGCCUGGAUCGUACGGACACUGAUGCUGCCAAAAGCAGAAAGAAUGCAGUCAGCCUCUUGAAAGCAAAGUAACUCCCAGGGCACUGCUUGUCAAGACUCUUCAGAGCAUUCUCUUCUGUGGAUUCUCAGGCACGUAGGAUGGCUGUCUGUUAUUGACAUUGCUGCCAUGGCUGUGGAGCAGAGGAGCUACUGUGGGUGUGCAUCACACUCACACCUGGACCUUUGCAACUCCAUUUCCCAUGCAGAAAAUUUGUUUUGAAAGGAUCCAUGAAGAUGACCCCUGACAUAUUCCAUUGAUUUCAUCACUGAAAAAAAUCUUGGUGAUAUCUGGCAAAGUCAUGGGGAUAAUAUAGAUGCCCAUAGAUGGCUGUGUAGAAGGGUCUUGGGUCCAGAGGAAGUGAGAAGAGGAAAACAGGAGAUAAUCCCAAACUAAAUGGAAACAAUGGAAGUAGCAAGGAGAGAAAAGAAAGGAAAAAGUAAAAAAUGAAGAAAUGAAAGCUGCCUGUCCUGCUGGUGACAGAGAUGUACCUUCCUGGGCAUAACAGCCACAUGCACAAGAUGGUAGAGGAGAUCUCAAGACUCAGAUUCACAGAAUACAGGAAUUAACUGAGAGAGACAUCAGCAGAAAGUAUGAAAAUAUUCAGACAUGAAGAAAGAGCACAUUACAGACAAGAACCAGGGCAGAAGAAGCUGUGCUUAUACCACAGAAGCUGCUGAAGUGCUGGUCCUUCCUUAAGAAUAUUUACAACCAUGCUGGAAGCUUGAGGACACACCCAGCAGAUCAAACAAGAGCAAGAUGAAGAUCUUGUUGCACAAUAUUAUAGAAAUAAUAUGCAAUAUCAAUAGUGGUAGCUUCUCUUUUUGCUCAUGGUUUAUCAAGGCUUUCAGUCUACUAAUCUGUUUUC